GAGGAGACUUUCUACCUCUUAGAUACUUCUGAACAGAGAGAGGUCAGCGAAGAGGGAGAACUGCUGGCCUCAUUGCUCCCAAAACUGCAUGGACCAACUGCAAAGCAGGCUGCCCCAAGAGGAAGGGCUUGAGGCUUGGAACUGCUGGGCUGUUCUACUUUAUCCUAGCCUUGGAGAUGGACCCAAACACUCCUUCUGUGCCAGUGAGGUCUGACUGUUGAAAGAGGACGUUCUGAGAAGCAAGGCUUCCAGUAAUGGGAACCAGAAACAUGGAGGAUUCACCAUUUGAAGGAGCUUCUCUUAUUUGCCCAUUUCGGUACAGCAAAUGGGCAGAGCAUCCACUGGUGGACAGUGGUGGUUUCUGACUUACCACAAGUGCCUGAUGGAGGAGGAGGACCAUGCAGACAUGGAAGAAUCAAUCUGGCUGAUAUUGCUCAUGGCCCUUGGGGUAGCUGCUGAUGCCCUGUACGUAGACUGGCACUUUUGGAGCAGGGCCGCAAGGACAGACUGGUGGUAUCACAUUGUCAUGCGGCCCUGGGAUAACUAGCAGUGGAGCGUGAAGAAAGCUACCUUUAUGGAGCCUUGUGAGCAAGGUGCCCCCACUCUCCAGCACCAUGACACAUUCAUGAGGGCAGCAGUACUGGUCCAGAAGUGGGUUGCUAACCGUCUGGAAGCUGGCUAUUCCAGACUGCUACAGGUCUGUCGCUAACCAGUUAGGUGUUGGAAAGUCAGUUGCAGGUAAAGUGGUGGUGAAGGUUUCUGAGCCAAUCAGGUGUGUGUGUUACCCAAAGCUGGGGGAGGGGGGCAUAAACAAUAUCCUUGGAAGUAAUUGCUGAUUUUGAGAGAAUGAGAUUUCCAAACUGCAUCAGGCCCUUGAUGGGACGCGUGUCCACAGUAUGCCCACCUCAAGGAGCACAUGAGCAUACAAAUCACAAAGGCUACUACUCCAUUACUACGCAAGCCCUUGCGGACCCCAGAGACCAAUUUAUGGAUACCAACGUGGGCUGCACUAGAAAAGUUCAUGUUUUCCACUGAUCAAAGGUCUACUUUCAUGGACUGACUGGGACACUAAUCCCACCAAAUGACAUUGUCAUAAAUGGAGUUUCUGUCCCCACUGUUUUCCUGGGGACCCCGUAUACUCCUUUCUGCCUUGGCUUAUGAAACCGUAUCCUGAUCUCAGAGAGCCUGAUGCACAAUGGUGGCUGAACAUGCGUAUGGCUGACUGCUAUCCUGCUGACCCUGCUUACAGACAUGUUUGGAUGCCUGUGUCAUCAGUAUUGUCUGCAUUGUUGUGGCUUGCUGUUCUCUUCAUACUCCUUGUGAAGCUAAAGGUGAGCCAUUUGCCCCUGAAUGGACCUUGUGACAGUUAUGGAUUGCCAAACUUGUGCACUCAACCAGAGAUCACAUGUAUCACAAGUGGGGCAGGAUGCAGCCGCACAACACAUAUCAGAUGCUCUGUGUUCCCAUGUUAUGGACUUGCAUGGCCCAAUGAAAGAGGAAGAAUAAUUUGUUUAUGAAUGGACUUGUACCAUCUUUACAGUAAGUGAGGUACUGUCGCAUUAUGCAGUGAAAUGAGGGGAGAGACAGUGUAGUUAUGAAUGACAUGACCAUUUAUGAAGUAGGUAUAGGGGUUUAGUGACAAGAACUGUGGAUUUACAGUAUGGCUUGAUGUAGAGAAAUGUAUUGAGAAAUAGUGUGUGACUACAACCUCCCAGUUGUCUCUUAUCAUGUAUUUACCCUUAUUGUUUGAAAUGCACAUUAUAUGAUGAGAUGCGGUGAUGGCAAUAACAUUUCUUAAUAAAAUAAAAACCUUUAUUUCUGAACAUAUAUUAGAAAAACACAAUAUUAAACCAUAGCCAGGCAGGCCAGCUGCUAUUAGCACACCAAAAUGCCAGAAAAGCCAACAGCAAAACCACUAACAAAAAGUGCAUGAACACUGCAAACAAUGAAUCCAGUUUGAAACAAUAACCCCCGUACUGUUGUGUGUCCCCUGCCCCUCUGUUCUCCUUUCUCUUACCUCCAUGUUUGUUGCACACUUGGUGCCACUGUAGGGAGGUGGAGCUUUUCACGGGACAGAGUGCUUCAUGAGAGUGGAGGUCUGCAGGGAGGAGGGGGCCUGUACAGAGUUGGAGGACUGCAUGGGGAAGAUUUGCUCAGUCCAGUUGUUAAGUCAAGUCCCAAUUGCCUGGGCCACCCAACAACAGAAUUAUCCAAAAUGUUCCUGGCCUGCAACACAUGGAGCCUUGGAGGGGAUGUGGUGUGGGUGCAGUAGGACUCUGUACUCUAGGGGCCAUAGGCAUAAGCAGCCUUUCAAACAGGUCUUUCUGCUAGUCUGUCUUCCCCCAGCUGAUGUUCCUGCUCCAGAAUGCAAGCCCCUCCUUGCGCUGAAAGUCUCUUCUUGUGCACUGAAACUUUGUCCUUUUGCUCUGCAGCCUGUCUGUGCCUUGCCACUUGGGUAUCGUCUUGCCUUGUAUCCUUCUCUUUCUGGUACAGACUGGCCCUGUCUACAAUAUCCACCAUAAGUUCAUCACAGCAACACUCCUCCUUGGACCAGUCCCUGGCAGUUCUGAUUCCCAGGGACCUGCUGGAGUGGGACCACACUGACAAGGUGAAAAGACUAGCAGAAUCGAAAGGCCUAACAGCAGUCAUAAGAAAGUGCAUUAUUGUUUCACAGUUUCACAACAGCAUCUGUGCAUCCCCAGGCAAAAGUACCUUGUGGAUCUCAAGGGCAAAAAAUGAUACUUCGUAAACUGAGCUUCAGUGUAGUCUGGGACAAAGCAAAGCUCUCAGAAGCUCCUGGGACAAAAUUCAGCUAAUCAUAGUGAAAACCUGCACAGAUAAUGGUAAGCUCCUUUUUGUUUGUUUGUUUGUUUGUUUGUUUUUGUUUACAAAUUGCAGACUCCUUGGUCUAUGUUUUUUUUUUUUUUGGAAGUAAGGGGCGGGGUCAAGGGCAGAACCAUGGCUUACUACAUAAGCCUUCUCUAUAUUGUUAGGCUUUCUACAUUCUUGAGGACAUUACACUCCUAGAGGUUCCAGAAUGGCAAAGGGGAGAGCUUUUCAAACCUAUGGGGAGAGCUUUUCAAAUCUAUGGUGACACACAUCUAUGAGUGGAGUGGGCUAAGGACCAACACAGGGAAUUUGCCUUUCCCUGAAAUUUGGAUCCCUGGCUGGAGUUCCUAGUACAGGAAAUGUUUACAGCUAUCAGUUCCUGGGAUUGGCUCAAAAUUUAUGGGAGAAUCAAUAAGAUGCUGAAUUAGGGUGCACAUGGAUGGCUGGCCCCAUAUGAUGAUCACCCAUAAACAAUAUUCAGUGACAAUCUACCUGUACAUGUCAUUUUUAUAUUUUUAU